rnacentral:rRNA from 1 species
AGAGUUUGAUCCUGGCUCAGGACUAACGCUGGCGGCGUGCCUAACACAUGCAAGUCGAGCGCGAAUGGAGCAAUCCUAGUAGAGCGGCGCACGGGUGCGUAACACGUGGGUAAUCUGCCUCAAAGACUGGAAUAACCUGCCGAAAGGCAAGCUAAUACCAGAUAAGCCUACGGGCUCUUCGGAGCCUGAAGGAAAAGGUG